AUGUGGAUCAAGAUGAUGAUCACCAGCCGGUGGCGGCUGCUAGUGGCGGUGGCGAUGGUGGUGGCAAUGGCGGGAGCUCCGGCGACAGUGUGCGGGAGGGACCUGAACCAGACUAUGACGGUGCAGGUGACGCAGCAGCAGGGGAGUAGUAAUAAGAAGCCGCUGGUGACGGCGCUGAUCGUGUUCGGGGACUCGAUCGUGGACCCCGGCAACAACAACAACCUGCCGGCGACGAGGAUGAAGGCCAACCACGCGCCCUACGGCAAGGACUUCGCCGGCCACGUCGCCACCGGACGCUUCUCCAACGCGCUCCUGCCACCCGACCUCAUCGCUCGGAGGCUUAACUUGAAGCCACUUCUUGGCCCAUGGCUGAACGUGGAGCACACGCCGGAGGACCUGCUCACCGGCGUCAGCUUCGCGUCGGGUGCCACCGGGUUCGACCCGCUGACCCCGCAGAUCGUGAACGUGUACACCAUGGACCAGGAGCUGGAGUUCUUCGACGAGUACCGGCGCAGGCUGGUGGGCAUCGUGGGGGAGGCCGAGACGCGCCGCAUCAUCGCCGGCGCCUUCUUCUUCGUCGUCACCGGGACCGACGACUUCGCCAACACCUACUUCAUGACGCCCUACCGCGCCGGCGACUACGACAUCCCGGCCUACGUGGACCUCCUCCUCGUCGGCGCCGAGGCAUUCCUCCGCAACACCAGCGCGCGGGGCGCCCGGAAGAUGGGCUUCACGGGGAUGCCGCCCAUCGGGUGCGUCCCCUCGCAGCGAACCAUCGGCGGCGGGCCGCGGCGCCGCUGCGAGGCCCGCCGGAACUACGCCGCGCUCAUGUACAACAAGGCGCUGCAGCAGCUCAUCGACCGGCUCAACGCCGACCCCACGUUCCACACCCUCGUCGUCUACUUCGACAUCUACGACAUCAUCGAGGAGCUGGCCGUGCACGGCGACCGGUGGGGGUUCACGGAGCUCACGCACGGCUGCUGCGGCUCCGGGCUCAUCGAGGUCACCAUGCUCUGCGACACCAGGUACAUGGGGGUGUGCGACGACGUGGACAAGCACGUCUUCUUCGACAGCUACCACCCCACGCAGAGGGCGUAUGAGAUCAUCGUCGACCACAUCUUCAAGAACUAUGUGCCCCUCAUGCAUCUCUGA
rnacentral:rRNA from 1 species